GCUCCGUUGGUGAACCAGCGGAGGGAUCAUUACCGAGUUUACAACUCCCAAACUCCAUGUGAACCUUACCAAACGUUGCUUCGGCGGGAUGCCCCGGGCGCGGGCCGCAAGGCCUCAGCCCCGGAACCAGGCGCCCGCCGGAGGCCCAAACCAAACUCUUGUUUUUGUAGAAUCUUCUGAGUGGCCUUUUAGGCAAAAAAUGAAUCAAAACUUUCAACAACGGAUCUCUUGGUUCUG
rnacentral:misc_RNA from 1 species